rnacentral:rRNA from 1 species
UACGGGGGGAGCAAGCGUUGUUCGGAUUUACUGGGCGUAAAGGGCGCGUAGGCGGCCAGCACAAGUCAGUUGUGAAAUCUCCGAGCUUAACUCGGAAAGGUCAACUGAUACUGUGCGGCUAGAGUGCGGAAGGGGCAACUGGAAUUCUUGGUGUAGCGGUGAAAUUCGUAGAUAUCGGGAGGAACACCAGUGGCGAAGGCGGCUCUCUGGACAGGUACUGACGCUGAGACGCGAAAGCGUGGGUAGCAAACAGG